AAAUACAAUAUCUAAAAUAUAAACAAACAAAACAUUUAGAUCUAUAACUAAUGGAAAAGUGCAGCACAAGUUUCGAAUCUAGUCGAGAAAGUCCCGUUGCCGAUGCCCUCUUGAGUAUCAGGUACAAGAGAUUAAGUCAAAAUUCAAACUGUGUUAUGGUUUAUAUAUGAGUGAAGCUUGUUUUGACUACUUAAAAAAAUGUGACAUCGGUUUAUAAAAAUAUGGCAUCGGUAAAAUGAGAAAAUUUUAACGAUAAAGUGCGGGAACAAAGUAAAGAAAUAGAAUUAAGAGAUUCGGUGCUUCAGUACAUACAUCGACUGAUUUAAGGAGAACAUGCAAAGAAGAGCUGCUACAUCAUCUGAGGGUUUGGGUUGGGACAAAGAUAUGGUAGGAUUAGGAGAAAAAAAUUGCCCGUGCAUCUCAGUUGACCGCCAUCCCGCAACCUUUUAUUUCACAUUUCGUUUCCUUACAUUUUGUGCAUGCAAUGAGUAGUUUUCAAGAAAUUUUAAUUGCUCUGUUUCUUUUCAUUAGUCAUAAAAUUGAACCGAGAAGAACUAAGAGCACAGAGCACUGAGGAAAAGAAUUUAACCAGGAAGUUCAUGCCUUCUUAUCAAUCAACCAGAUACAGAAGAAGCAUCGAACGUUGAACUUCUUGGUUCUGAGCUGGAACUAUAAUCGCUGCUCUAUGAUUAGAUUUUGUUUUUUUGAUUAUAUCAUUUUUCAAAGUGUGAAACUAUAUUAAAUAAAACUAUUUUAAA